ensembl:lncRNA
AUUGGAUCCGAUUUCGGGGGGAGGAGGAUGGUGGCGCAGGGCUGGGUGACGAGAGGGGAGGGGAGGAGCUGGGAGGCGAGCGCUGCCGCUGGACGGGUGGGGGUGGGGGGUGCUGCGGGGAAGGCGGGGGAGCCGGGACGUCCAAGUGUGCCGACAAGCCCGGCUGGCUGUGGAGUAGAGGGAAACACCUCUUUUAUCAAAAUUGGCUUCAAAAGAUGUCUAUCUCCCGUUUCUGGUGAGUCAUCUGUCCAUUCACAAGUGUUGGAAGUGGGAAGGAGGCCACUGAGAGACUCCCCAAGGAUACGCUAAUUGGAUGAGGAAACUCUGGAACUGAAGGGAACUUUAAUGUCCAUUUCAUUCAUCCCUCUACUUUAAAGCACCAAACGAAGGCCCAUCCAAGGUGAAAAGCAUCCAUUUCUUGGAGAAAUGCCACUGUGAGAUUGCAAGUCCCAGGACCAGGACUUAUGUGUCUCUUUUUCCAGCGAAGUGGCUAAAGGUCUGGAGCUGAAGUUGCAAAUGCCAUAGUGUCCUUGAAUCUCAAGUCUGGACUGAAAAAAGUUCUUAAAGGUCCCCUGGUUCAACCUUCUACUUAACGUGGAAAUCCUUUCUACCACAUCCCUGCAUGGGAAUCACAGGUCUCUGUACCUGUCUAGCAUAGUCCACUUGGGGGGUUAUUCUCCUAAUUAAAACAUCUUUCUCUUACUAAAUGGGAAAUUACCUCCAAUUUCUAUUCACCCCAUAUUUCUUCAGUUCCUACUAUGUGCCAGGCAUGCUGCUAGGCCCAUGAGAUAUAAAGUUGGAUAAAUCCCAGGAUUUACCUUUAAGGGGUUCAGAGUGGAGCAAUGGAAAUGGUCACAGAGUAUGACGCACAAAGUUCCUGGGGGACAUGGGGGAAGAAUGCUGAGUUCUGCUAGUGGAGGUGGGAGAAGGCUUUGUAGAUGAUGGGACCUCAGAACCGAGCCUGGAGAAGUAGGGUUGGAUUUCACUAGGAACAUAUGGACAUUAGCAAUAUAACUCUCCAGCGAACCAGGAUAAGCAGGGCCUGGGCAGCGUUGAAUUCAAGAAAUAUUGGGAGGUGGGACCACAGGCUUUAGUGAUUGUUGUAUCUGGAGGGUGACAGAGAACAUUGUUGCAAAUUCUGCAGUUCCCUGAACUCAGUUCCCCUGCUGCCCUAGGAGUCUUCUCUUCUCUGGCACUCAGUUAGUUUACCACAGACCACAUGCUUUCCAGAACCUGCAACAUUCUCAUCACCUCUCUUAAAACACAGUGGUUUUUUGGGGCCUCUCUUAGAUGUGGUCACCAGACUCAAACACAUCUACCAAAAGAUACAUAACCAGGGGAGAAUACAGUAUCUUUUUAAGCGAACAGGACUUUUCUUCUCCUCUCAAUUCCAUGUCCCGUCAUUCCCUUCCCUCAUGCCCAGGGGAGGACCUUUCCCCUUCCUAAGUCUCAAUUUGUUUAUCAGCACCAUCUAGUCAAUAGAGCACACGAUCACUUAAACGAAAAGUGAAUAAAACUGGGUUUUGAACAUUCAUUUGUUCAGUCAGUAAGAAUUUCUGAUAUUUAUAACGCGCAAGGCAUUAUGAGCAUUGUAAUUAAAUACCUCCUACGCACCAGACACACACGCUGUAAUGAUGGGUAAAUUUCAGGAUUUGCCUUUAACAAGUUCAGUCUAAAUAUCUAAAUAUCUAAAAAGAUGUUUAAAACAAGUUUUUUACCAACAAAUGACUUAUAGUCUAGAAGGCAAGGACUGCCAGCCAGCCAGACUUUCAUUCGUGUUGUAAUAAUACGUGACAUGCAUUGAAUUCUUCUAAGCGCUUGACAUGAAUCAACUCACUCCAUCCUCAUAAUAACACUAUGAGGCUGGUAGAUACUCUUACCAAGAUUUUCAUUUCACAGAGGAGGAAACUGAGGCACAGUAGCUCAAGGUCACACAACUAAAAAUAAGGGAACCAG